rnacentral:rRNA from 1 species
AUGGGGGUGCCGGCGGUGACGCGUGCCCGGCGUGGUGACACUGGUGGACGUGGUGGUCAUCUUCUUUCCGAGAUGGCCGGCCAGAGGCUUGGUGAUCGGAUCUCGAGAUCCAUCAUCUUGUCCCGGCUGCGAGUAGGGGAGACAUGGUUGCCGGUGAAAACCGAGCCGACGACAGGCGAUGGUGGCGUUCUCGCCGUUACCUUGAUGAAGGCAUCGUCGUGUAACUAUUGUCGACCCACUCGUGCUGCUUCAGGGAAAACCCUAGGAUCUGGUGUUCCAGAUCGGACGAUGGCGGCAUUGCAGUGUCGUUUCUCUCUUGGGAGCAUCGUUGGAUGUCAGAGGCAGGAGGUGGAGCGGCUUCGUCUUGCACGGAGCUUCGGUGGUGAUGUCAAGUCAUGCCUGAUCGACAGGUGCUAA